ensembl:lncRNA
ACAGUGAGGAGGAGCAGAGUCAUGACCUGCAGCAAUGCCAGAAAACACACACACAGGCAGAAUUACUUCCCAGGCUUUCUUUCACACUUUUCUGUUGACAAAUUCUUUUUUCAAUUAUCUGAGAUAUUCCAGUGUCUUUCCAGUAAAUCCUCCUUUUAUCCUAAGCUAAUUUAAGUUGCAUUUGUGUGAUUUGCAAACAAAGAAGUCUGUACUAGAUCUCUGUUUUUGUAUGCUCAGGCUUAAUAGAUUUUUACACUUGUAGAAGAGUUUCUCUCCAUUCAUGUCCUCAUUCACUAAGUUAUUAAGCAAUAAUGCCCACAGUAUUACAAGUUCUGUGCUACUUAGCAGGAAUACUAAAUCACGUGGACUAUGCGUGUGUGCUGUCACUCCACUUGUAUCUGACUCUUUGCGACCCUAUGGACUGUAGCCCACCAGGCUUCUCUGUCCAUGAGAUUCUCCAGGCAAGAAUACUGGAGUGGGUUGCCAUGCCCUCCUCCAGGGGAUCUUCCCAACCCCGGGAUCAAACCCGAGUCUCUUACGUCUCUUGGAUUGGCCGAUAUCUCUUGCUCUUGUUCUGUGACUAGUCAGGGGAUAGGACGGAUGAAACACAACCAAGAGUUGCUGUUUUUCUCUGCACCUCCUCGAAUUCCUUAGCUGCAGCAAGACCAAAUUUAUCCCCACUUUGGUACUCUAGCAGACUGGAACACUGGAGAGAGAUGGAGAAGGGAAAGUGAGUGAAGUAUACAAUUAGAUGUUUAGUGUUGGCCCACUUAGCUCUGAGGACAAUGGGACAAAAUCUGGGCCAGCUCUGGGCUUUUUGGCAGGUGAACAAGCUGGAGGGAAGGUCUUGCAGAGGAGGCCUGGGGACUCAUCAGAAAGCGUUAGGAAUAGGUGGGAGUCAGCUUGAGAGAGUCUGGACUGCAAGGAGAUCUAAUCAGGCCAUCCUAAAGGAAAUCAGUCCUCAAUAUUCAUUGGAAUUGAUGCUGAAGCUGAAACUCCAAUACUUUGGCUACCUGAUGCGAAGAACGGACUCAUUUGAAAAGACCCUGAUCUGGGAAAGAUUGAAGGUGGGGGAGAAGGGGACGACAGAGGAUGAGAUGGUUGGAUGGCAUCACCAACUUGAUGGACAUGAGUUUGAGUAAACUCCGGGAG